rnacentral:rRNA from 1 species
GACGGGGGGGGCAAGUGUUCUUCGGAAUGACUGGGCGUAAAGGGUGCGCAGGCGGCCGGGUGUGUCAGAUGUGAAAUCCCGAGGCUUAACCUCGGAACUGCGUCUGAAACUACUCGGCUAGAGUACUGGAGAGGGUAACGGAAUUCACGGUGUAGCAGUGAAAUGCGUAGAUAUCGUGAGGAACACCAGAGGCGAAGGCGGUUACCUGGACAGUUACUGACGCUCAGGCACGAAAGCAUGGGGAGCAAACAGG